rnacentral:rRNA from 1 species
AUAGCGUAUAUUAAAGUUGUUGCAGUUAAAAAGCUCGUAGUUGAACCUUUGGCCUGGCUGGCCGGUCCGCCUCACCGCGUGUACUGGUCCGGCCGGGCCUUUCCUUCUGGGGAACCUCAUGCCCUUCACUGGGCGUGUUGGGGAACCAGGACUUUUACUUUGAAAAAAUUAGAGUGUUCAAAGCAGGCCUUUGCUCGAAUACAUUAGCAUGGAAUAAUAGAAUAGGACGUGUGGUUCUAUUUUGUUGGUUUCUAGGAUCGCCGUAAUGAUUAAUAGGGAUAGUUGGGGGCAUUAGUAUUCAGUUGCUAGAGGUGAAAUUCUUGGAUUUACUGAAGACUAACUACUG